AGCGAACGCUGGCGGCAGGCCUAACACAUGCAAGUCGAACGAAGUCUUCGGACUUAGUGGCAGACGGGUGAGUAACGCGUGGGAAUCUUCCCAAAGGUACGGAACAACUCAGGGAAACUUGAGCUAAUACCGUAUGUGCCCGAGAGGGCAAAGAUUUAUCGCCUUUGGAUGAGCCCGCGUUGGAUUAGCUAGUUGGUGGGGUAAUGGCCUACCAAGGCGACGAUCCAUAGCUGAUCUGAGAGGAUGAUCAGCCACACUGGGACUGAGACACGGCCCAGACUCCUACGGGAGGCAGCAGUGGGGAAUCUUGGACAAUGGGCGAAAGCUUGAUCCAGCCAUGCCGCGUGAGUGAAGAAGGCCUUAGGGUUGUAAAGCUCUUUUGCCCGGGAAGAUAAUGACGGUACCGGGAGAAUAAGCCCCGGCAAACUUCGUGCCAGCCGCCGCGGUAA
rnacentral:rRNA from 1 species